rnacentral:tRNA from 1 species
AUUCUAAUAGCUUACAGUUAGAGCAUAAUAUUGAAGAUAUUAAGGAGACAUUAUGUCUUAGGAUA